GUUUUCAAAGGGCAUGGAGUUCUUCUCUGACCCACAGCAAAAUGGCUGCUCGGUCACCAUCUUAAGUUGCUGGUUACUUAGUGGAAAAGAUCAUCUUUGCUGCUCUAUCAAGAGUGACUCCAGUGUUAUGGAGCACUGAUGGCUCCAGAAACAGUCAGCUCCGUCCCCUGGUUUCCAGAAAAGUGAGAAAUGGCAGUUCAAAAGGGCACUCAAGUUUUUGGACUCAAGCAUGGUUGGGGAAGCACACAAGGCUGAAGGAUACCCAGCCACCCUGCUAAUGCUUCCUAUAAAACUUGGGGAUUUUAAGAAGAAGGAUAUCAAUGAUUAAGCCAUCUUUGGAGGCGGGGCACCGAAAUGGAAAAUAAAAACCAACCCUUUCUCUACUUCUGUGGAAAUAACCACUGGCAAAAUGGGCAGAGGUUCUAAGUGCAUUUUCAUUUUGCAGAAAGUAACGUAGAGUUGGACCCAGCGCACAGAACGCGGGCCAGGACGGUGUAGUCAGUGCCUGCAGAGCCCAGGACUGAUGCUGUUGCCUCGGCGGAUUUCUUGCAGCUGGGGAGCCGGGGCAGAUGAGGACAGGGGCGUUAAUCAUUUCCCGACGCAGCGAUCUUAGUCACAAGUUCCUGCUAAACGUGAAAUCACCCCCUCUGGUUGAAAAACAGCUAAACACUUUUUACUCCAUUCGCUCGGCAAUUUCUCCCUUUCAGGUUAAGCACAUGGAAAUUUGUUCAGCCAUUCCUUUUACGGCACCGGUUCCAUUAGUUGUUCCCCAAAGCCGGAGUUUAUCUGAUUGUGCAGCAGAUGGAAACUUCAGGAUAAAAUUCAAUGGCCAAAGGCUGAGGGAAGUUUACCCUGGCUGUGGCUAUGAAGAGGAAGCUGAAGAGGAUAGUAUCUGUGAGCUGGCCCG
rnacentral:lncRNA from 1 species